GGAAGAUCCAGGAGCAGUCAGGUCUCCAUGGCAGGGGAAGGACCAGGAGCAGUCAGGUCUCCAUGGCAGGACAGCACCAGGAGCAGUCAGGUCUCCAUGGCAGGACAGCCAGGAGCAGUCAGGUCUCCAUGGCAGGACAGCCCUGCCAGGCUCCCCUGGGCCACGAGCUGGGACAGGCAGGGAAGAGCCUGGAAGGGUGAAGGGAAGAGAGGGACCCAGAUGGAAACAGGCAGCAGGGAAGAAAAGCCA